rnacentral:lncRNA from 1 species
UUCCCAGGCUAGGGGUCAAAUCAGAGUUAUAGCUGCUGGCCUACACCACAGUCACAGCAACGUGGGAUCCGAACAACAUCUGUGACCUGUAUACCACAGCUCCUUAACCCACUGAGUGAGGCCAGGGAUUGAACCUGCAUCCUCAUGGAUCCUAGUUGGGUUCGUUAACUGCUGAGCCAUGAGGAGAACUCCUCAGAAAGACAAGGCUGAUGAAAUAUCACUGUGUCUGGUAAUGGCCAGUUUCCUCAAGGAAGGUGUGAAUCACUAGCACCAGCACUGUCCUCAAAUGCAGUACAAAGCACUUGGAUAAUUAUAUUUUCAUGUCAGUAAAAACACCAUCCACCCAAUGAUCUUACGUCUACUUUAGAGUUAGAGCACUUCUACGGUAUUAUUGCAGUAUUACUCUGAAGUGUGGUAUUCAGCAGUAGCCAUUAAAGUAGCAGAGCUGUGAUUGAAUAAUCUCCAUGGGUCUAUUAGUUCCCUAAAGCUGCUACAACAAAGUACCACAAAUCAUAUGACUUAAGCAACAGGAAUUUCUUGUCUCUCAGUUCUGGAAACUAGAGGUCAGAGAUCAGUAUGUCGGUGGAGUUGGUUGAUUGGUUCCUGCUGAGAGCUGUGAGGGGGGAACUGUUCCCUCUCCCCUGGCUUCAAGUGGUUUGCUGGCCAUCUUUGGCAUCUCUUGGCUUGUACAUGAUCCCCCAGUCUUUGCCUUCAUCUUCACGUGGUGUUUUCCAUAUGUGUGUGUGUCCAAAUUUCUCCUUUUUAUAAGGACACCCAUCAUAUUGGAUUAAGUGCCUAUCCUCCCACUAGCAGGACCUCAUUUUAACUAACUGAAUUAGCAAACAAUCUAUUUCCAAAUGAAGUCAUAUUCUAGGCACUGGGAGUUAGGAGUUCAAAAUAUAAAUUUGCGGAGUUCCCAUCAUGGCGCAGCAGAAAUGAAUCUGACUAGAAGCCAUGAGGUGGCAGGUUGGAGCCAUGAGGUGGCAGGUUCGAUCCCUGGCCUUGCUCAGUGGGUUAAGGAUCUGGCAUUGCCGUGAGCCGUGGUGUAAGUCGCAGACGCGGCUUGGAUCCUGUGUUGCUGUGGCUGCUGUGUAGGCUGGCAGCUACAGCUCUGAUUAGACCCCUGGCCUGGGAACCUCCAUAUGUCGUAGGUGCGGCUCUAAAAAGACAAAAGACAAAAUAUACAUGGAUUGGCAGCAGCAAGGGUGGUGUUAGGGGAUGGGACACAAUUUCACUUGUGACAGUGGUAUUAUGGUGAAAGUAGGUCACCUGAAAUCAGAAUCCUUCUUGAAAAGAUGAUUAAAGCAUAGGUAUAGAAGAUAACCUCUGACUGGCUCUUAACUAACUCUCUCUCUCUCUCUCCUGCUAUGCUGCAUGCUUUCCAAAGAGUCUAGAUUUGUUCUAAAUCAAAAGAUUCUUCUUCAAAACAUUUUUUUGCCGAUAGGAAAAAAACAAAGUAUUUACAAAAUACACAUCCUCAAACUUUGCCCAAUAAGUUUUAUUAGAGACCCUCUCUAUUGCUGGCAGUUUUGCUGAUUUUUCCUUUAACCCUCAUAUCCUCAUUGGAUAAUAUAGCAACUCAAAAACAAUUUGAGGGGAGUGCCCGUCGUGGCGCAGUGGUUAACAAAUCCAAAUAGGAUCCCUGGCUUGCUCAGUGGGUUAACAAUCCGUCGUUGCCGUGAGCUGUGGUGUAGGUCACGGACUCGGCUCGGAUCCCACAUUGCUGUGGCUGUCGUGUAGGCCGGUGGCUACAGCUCCAAUGGGACUCCUAGCCUGGGAACCUCCAUAUGCCGCAGGAAGCGGCCCUAGAAAAAGGCAAAAAGAAAAAAAUAAAAUAAAAAUAAAAAUAAACUAUUUGAAUGAGGAUCUAGAGAGGAAAGGACUUUCCUUCUUUGCUUCACAUAUUCAUUCCACAAAUGGUUUUGAGGACCACUCUUGAGGAUGUGAUCUUGCAGAUUCUUUUUUUUGAAUGAUUUUUAUUUUUUCCAUUAUAGUUGGUUUACAGUGUUCUGUCAAUUUUCUACUCUACAGCAAAGUGACCCAGGCACGUUUACAUAUAUACAUUCUUUUUCUUGCAUUAUCUUCCAUCAUAAGGGACCAGAUAUAGUUCCCAGUGCUAUACAGCAGGGUCUCAUUGCUUAUCCAUUCCAAAGGCAAUAGUUUAAGGAUAAAAACACAAAGAAGACUUGACUCUCCUCACUAUGGAGGCUUGUACUCUAGCGGUAAAGCCAAAUAAAGAUACCCUUCUCAAAUAAAGAUAGCCUUUUGAAUUGGAAUUUAAUUUAGAAAAAAUUUUACCAUUCUACAAAGCAACAUGAGAUUUUACACAGUAACAACAGCAACAAAAUUUUAAGGAGGAAAACAAGGCAGUUGUUCAUGUUUGAUUCUGACCAGAUGCUCAGAACUAGAUCCCUUUUCCUGAAAAUUGUUCGAUGGUCACCUGCAUGCAUCCUUAGGCUCCUCUAGGAAUAAGGUACCUGAUCAUGACUCGUGCAGAUGAUUUAUUACAGACAGCUUUUCCAUUAUUUGCAUUUUAGAUGUUUUAGUGGCACUUUCUGUAUAUCAACUGUGUUUUAAUUGCAGAUAAAAUAGUUAAAGGUAUCAAAAUAAACCAAUAACUAAAGGCUAUUGCUCUUUCUCGAGUUCUUGAGAAAAAUUCAGAGAUACACAGUUCAUACCCACAAUCUAGUGGGCAAAGUUCUGAUUGCCCAAUAGGCUACAUAAUAAAACCCAAGCCAAAUUCAGUAACUGAGAAGCUUUUGUAAUCUUAAAGGCACAAGGGGCUUAAUCCAAUAUGCCUGCAAUGUCCGUGUCCCUCUAACCCCAUCAUAACGGCCUAAGCAACUACUUUCAGUGCAAAAUUUCCCCUUGAUGAUUCUUUUACUUAAACACCACUUGUCUGCAAUUUGGAAAAGUGAGUGAAAGCCAUGGGAAACUAUGUGUUUGCUUUUGCCUCAUAUGCUUGUUGAGAUGAAAAGACAACAAAAUCAUAGCAAACACAUAAAUAGAGUUCACUGGAUACAAGCACCAUUCUAAGUGCUUUGCCAGUAUUAAGAUAUUUAAUCACUGAAAUGGAUUUCCCAUUCUGACACAGUGGAAACGAGAAACAAAUCUGACUAGGAACCAUGAGGUUGCAGGUUCUAUCCCUGGCCUUGCUAAGUGGGUUAAGGAUCCAAUGUUGCUGUGAGGUGUGGUGUAGGUUGCAGAUUCAGCUUGGAUCCCAUGUUGCUAUGGCUGUGGCUUAGCCCAGCAGCUACAGCUCCAAUUGGACCCCUAGCCUGGGAACCUCCAUAUGCCAUGGGUAUGCCCUAAAAAAGCAAAAUGAAUGAAUGAAUGAAUGAAUUUAAUUGAAAUUUUGCUCACAGGUAUCUUCUUGAAUAAUAUUAUUCUAACAUGGCAUUUGAUUGAUUUUAGUUAUGACACAGUUUACUAUCUGCUUGUUUCUUUAAUCUGAUUUUAAGGACACUAGUGUGAGAGUGAGUGCUUUAAGAGAUUUAGAUGAAAAUGCUUCUUAAACCUUUGAGAAGAGCAUUGCCUGUCCACUUUAAUGUCUUUUUGUAAAAUAUAUUAUGCUCUGCAAUUUACCAUCUGUCCAUUUGUGAGUGAGUUAUCAUCUGUGGGUGAGUUAGUAUCUCUCAACUCAGUCAUACAGUAGGAUUAACCUUUUUUUUUUUUUUCCUUUUUUGGGCCUCACCUGUGGCAUAUGGAAGUUCCCAGGCUAUGGGUCGAAUUGGAGCUACAACUGCUGGCCACAGCCACAGCAACACAAGAUCCGAGCCACAUCUGCAACCUAUACCACAGUUCACAGCAAUGCUGGAUCCUUAACCCACUGCGCAAAGCCAGGGAUUGAACCUGAAUCCU